rnacentral:rRNA from 1 species
UACAACAUAAUGUUAAUGCACCAUAUCCCAUUAGAACUCCACAGUUAAUCAUGCUCAGGGUAGAGUAGUACUGGGAUGGGUGACCACUCGAGAAGUCCUAGUGUUUUAC